rnacentral:rRNA from 1 species
UUUAGUGCCGUAAGAUAUGAGGCAUAAUGAUGUUUAUUUUAUUUAGCAAGUCCUACUGCGUUAACUAUUAUUGAGUGAAUGCUCAUAGAGGGUGAGAAGCCCGUGUUGCGGUAUGCGUCUACUAAAACAAAGCAUCAUAGAGUCUAGUUGUUUGGGAGUACAGCUUAAAGUUGGUGGUAAAUUUCAUCAAAGGCUGAAUAUAUCGAGGAACUAAUAGCGAACAAGUACCAUGAGGGAAAGUUGAAAAGAACUCUGAAGAGAGAGUUAAAUAGUACGUGAAACCAUACGGAGUAAAACAAAUAACUGUGUUGUUUUCCACACGCUCUCUCAACAGUAAAACCGGCUUUACGGACCUUUUGUUGAAGACUGUAAAUCUCGGUCAGUUGAUUAAGGAUAGUAUUGCUGGCAUUUCUGUGUACUAGUGCGUGUUUUACCAUUGAGAGGCUAUGCUGUAGCGGGGAAUGUUAGUGUAUUAGCUUGCACUUGCUGCGGAGAUAUGUACUUACCCGUUUGACGGCGUAGCUUCGCGAGGAAGCGUCUAAGGGGUCGCGUUUGUCUGUAGAGAUGUGGCUGCGGUAAGCGGCGAUAUCAUAGCAUACAAGCGACUUAUUAUCAAUGGCUAGCAUUAGUUAUUUGACCCGUCUUGAAACACGGACCAAGGAGUUCAAAUGGCACGCAAGUCGAUGGGUUAUAGAACCUAAAGGCGAAGUGAAAUGCAAAUAUAUUGCUAAUUGUGGUUUUUCCGCAACUAAAUCAUAAGCUUCAAAUUCUAUUUGGUAUUUGGAGACUAUAAGCGUGAUGUUUGAGACCCGAAAGAUGGUGACCUAUGCCUAGUCAAGAUGAAGCUAGAGGAAACUCUGGUGGAGGUCUGAAGUUUUUCUGACGUGCAAAUCGAUAAUCUGAUUCGGGUAUAGGGGCGAAAGACUAAUCGAACCAUCUAGUAGCUGGUUCCUUCCGAAGUUUCCCUCAGGAUAGCAAGCGUGUAACUUAGUUUCAUCCCGUAAAGCGAAUGAUUAGAGGUAUUGGGGUAUAUUGAGCCUCAACCUAUUCUCAAACUUUUAAUGGGUGUGGGCGUUCUUUCUUAAUUGAUGAAUGCCGUCAAAUAAGUACGCUUAGUGGGCCAUUUUUGGUAAGCAGAACUGGCGCUGUGGGCUGAACCAAUUGCUGAGUUAAAGUGCCUAAGUCUGAAUGCGCAUAAUAUCUAAAAGGGUGUUAGUUGCUGAAGACAGCAGG